rnacentral:rRNA from 1 species
GAUGAACGCUGGCGGCGUCCCUAAUACAUGCAAGUCGAGCGAACAGACGAGGAGCCUACUCCGCUGACGUUAGCGGCGGACGGGAGCGUAACACGUGGAUAACCUACCUAUAAGACUGGGAUAACUUCGGGACACCGGAGCUAAUACCGAAUAAUAUAUUGAACCGCAUAGUUCAAUAGUGAAAGACGGAUUUGCUGUCACUUAUCGAUGGAUCCGCGCCGCAUUAGCUAGUUGGUAAGGUAACGGCUUACGAAGUCAACGAUUCGUAGCCGACCUGAGAGGGUGAUCAGCCGCCUUGGAUGUGAGACACGGUCCUGACUCCUACGGGAGGCAGCAGUAGGGAAUCUUCCGCUACAGGCGAAAGCCUGACGGAGCCACGCCGCUUGAGUCAUGAACGUCUUCGGAUCGUAAAACUCUGUUAUUAGGGAAGAACAAAUGUGUAAGUAACUAUGCACGUCUUGACGGUACCUAGUCAGAAAGCCACGGCUAACUACGUG